rnacentral:rRNA from 1 species
GGGCCCGCACAAGCGGUGGAGCAUGUGGUUUAAUUCGAUGAUACGCGAGGAACCUUACCAGGGCUUAAAUGUAGUGGGACAGGUCUAGAGAUAGACCCUUCUUCGGACUCAUUACAAGGUGCUGCAUGGUUGUCGUCAGCUCGUGCCGUGAGGUGUCAGGUUAAGUCCUAUAACGAGCGCAACCCCUAUCGUUAGUUGCCAGCGGGUAAUGCCGGGAACUCUAGCGAAACUGCCGGUGCAAACCGUGAGGAAGGUGGGGAUGACGUCAAAUCAUCACGGCCCUUACGUCCUGGGCUACACACGUGCUACAAUGGUCGGUACAGAGAGCAGCCACUACGCGAGUAGGAGCGAAUCCUUAAAACCGGUCUCAGUUCGGAUCGGGGUCUGCAACUCGGCCCCGUGAAGCUGGAAUC